rnacentral:rRNA from 1 species
GACGAACGCUGGCGGCGUGCCUAACACAUGCAAGUCGAGCGGUAAGGCCCUUUCGGGGGUACACGAGCGGCGAACGGGUGAGUAACACGUGGGUGACCUGCCCUCAGCUCUGGGAUAAGCCUGGGAAACCGGGUCUAAUACCGGAUAUGACUCCACGACGCAUGUUGUGGGGUGGAAAGCCUUGUGCGGCUGAGGAUGGGCCCGCGGCCUAUCAGCUUGUUGGUGGGGUGAUGGCCUACCAAGGCGACGACGGGUAGCCGGCCUGAGAGGGCGACCGGCCACACUGGGACUGAGACACGGCCCAGACUCCUACGGGAGGCAGCAGUGGGGAAUCUUGCGCAAUGGGCGAAAGCCUGACGCAGCGACGCCGCGUGAGGGAUGACGGCCU